CAAUAGCGUAUAUUAAAGUUGUUGCAGUUAAAAAGCUCGUAGUUGGAUUUCUGGUUGAAGCGACCGGUCGGGCGUUGAUUCGUCUGCACUGGAGUCGGUUUUGGCCAUCCUCUAGGAAAGUGCGUCUGGUAUUAAGUUAUCGGGCGUAUGAUCCUGGUCUUUUACUGUGAAAAAAUUAGAGUGUUUAAAGCAGGCCUUCGCCUUGAAUACAUUAGCAUGGAAUAAUAAGAUAGGACUUUGGUCUAUUUUGUUGGUUUGCAGACCGAAGUAAUGACUAAUAGGGAUAGUUGGGGGUAUUUAUAUUCCGAUGUCAGAGGUGAAAUUCUUAGAUUUUCGGAAGAUAAACUUAUGCGAAAGCAUUUACCAAGGAUGUUUUCAUUAA
rnacentral:rRNA from 1 species